UACGUAGGGGGCAAGCGUUGUCCGGAAUCAUUGGGCGUAAAGCGCGUGUAGGCGGUCCGGUAAGUCGGCUGUGAAAGUCCAGGGCUCAACCCUGGGAUGCCGGUCGAUACUGCCGGACUAGAGUUCGGAAGAGGCGAGUGGAAUUCCCGGUGUAGCGGUGAAAUGCGCAGAAAUCGGGAGGAACACCAAUGGCGAAGGCAGCUCGCUGGGACGUUACUGACGCUGAGACGCGAAAGCGUGGGGAGCAAACAGG
rnacentral:rRNA from 1 species